AUUGAACGCUGGCGGCAGGCCUAACACAUGCAAGUCGAACGAGUGGCGGACGGGUGAGUAAUGUCUGGGACACUGCCUGAUGGAGGGGGAUAACUACUGGAAACGGUAGCUAAUACCGCACACCAUCAGAUGUGCCCAGGUGGGAUUAUCUUGUUGGGGGGGUAACGGCGCACCAAGGCGACGAUCCCUAGCUGGUCUGAGAGGAGGACCAGCCACACUGGAACUGAGACACGGUCCAGACUCCUACGGGAGGCAGCAGUGGGGAAUAUUGGACAAUGGGCGAAAGCCUGAUGCAGCCAUGCCGCGUGUAUGAAGAAGGCCUUCGGGUUGUAAAGUACUUUCAGCGGGGAGGCGUUACCCACAGAAGAAGCACCGGCUAACUCCGUGCCAGCAGCCGCGGUAAUUC
rnacentral:rRNA from 1 species